AGAGUUUGAUCCUGGCUCAGGACGAACUCUGGCGGCACGCUUAACACAUGCAAGUCGAACGGAGUUAAGAGAGAGCUUGCUUUUUCUUAACUUAGUGGCGGACGGGUGAGUAACACGUGAGCAACCUGCCUUUAAGAGAGGAAUAACAGUCUGAAAAGACUGCUAAUACCUCAUAAUAUAACGAAGCCGCAUGACUUUGUUAUCAAAGAUUUAUCGCUUAAAGAUGGGCUCGCGUCUGAUUAGCUGGUUGGUGAGGUAACGGCUCACCAAGGCGACGAUCAGUAGCCGUACUGAGAGGUAGAACGGCCACAUUGGGACUGAGACACGGCCCAGACUCCUACGGGAGGCAGCAGUGGGGAAUAUUGCACAAUGGAGGAAACUCUGAUGCAGCGAUGCCGCGUGAGGGAAGAAGGUUCUCGGAUUGUAAACCUCUGUCUUCAGGGACGAUAAUGACGGUACCUGAGGAGGAAGCUCCGGCUAACUACGUGCCAGCAGCCGCGGUAAUACGUAGGGAGCAAGCGUUGUCCGGAAUUACUGGGUGUAAAGGGAGUGUAGGCGGGAUGGUAAGUUAGGUGUGAAAUCUAUGGGCUCAACCCAUAAAUUGCACUUAAAACUGCUGUUCUUGAGUGAAGUAGAGGUUAGCGGAAUUCCUAGUGUAGCGGUGAAAUGCGUAGAUAUUAGGAGGAACAUCAGUGGCGAAGGCGGCUAACUGGGCUUUUACUGACGCUGAGGCUCGAAAGCGUGGGGAGCAAACAGGAUUAGAUACCCUGGUAGUCCACGCCGUAAACGAUGAGUGCUAAGUAUCGGUAGAUUCGGUGCUUAAGCUAACGCAGUAAGCACUCCGCCUGGGGAGUACGGUCGCAAGACUGAAACUCAAAGGAAUUGACGGGGACUCGCACAAGCGGUGGAGCAUGCGGUUUAAUUCGAUGCAACGCGAAGAGCCUUACCAGGUCUUGACAGUGUAAAGAAUACUUAAGAGAUUAAGGGCUAAGAAUUAAGCUUGCUUAUUUCACUUUAUAAACAGGUGGUGCAUGGUUGUCGUCAGCUCGUGUCGUGAGAUGUUGGGUUAAGUCCCGCAACGAGCGCAACCCUUAUUGCUAGUUGCCAUCAUUAAGUUGGGCACUCUAGCAAGACUGCCGGUGACAAAUCGGAUGAAGGUGGGGAUGACGUCAAAUCAUCAUGCCCCUUAUGACCUGGGCUACACGCGUGCUACAAUGGCUAAUACAAAGAGUUGCAAAACCGUGAGGUAGAGCUAAUCUCAUAAAGUUAGUCUCAGUUCGGAUUGUAGUCUGCAACUCGACUACAUGAAGUUGGAAUCGCUAGUAAUCGUAAAUCAGAAUGUUACGGUGAAUACGCUCUCGAGUCUUGUACUCACCGCCCGUCA
rnacentral:rRNA from 1 species